AAAUUGAAGAGUUUGAUCAUGGCUCAGAUUGAACGCUGGCGGCAGGCCUAACACAUGCAAGUCGAACGGUAACAGGAAGCAGCUUGCUGCUUCGCUGACGAGUGGCGGACGGGUGAGUAAUGUCUGGGAAACUGCCUGAUGGAGGGGGAUAACUACUGGAAACGGUGGCUAAUACCGCAUAACGUCGCAAGACCAAAGAGGGGGACCUUCUGGCCUCUUGCCAUCAGAUGUGCCCAGAUGGGAUUAGCUAGUUGGUGAGGUAACGGCUCACCAAGG
rnacentral:rRNA from 1 species